rnacentral:rRNA from 1 species
GCCUAUGGCCAUACCACCCUGAGAACGCCCGAUCUCGUCUGAUCUCGGAAGCUAAGCAGGGUCGGGCCCGGUUAGUACUUGGAUGGGAGACCGCCUGGGAAUACCGGGUGCUGUAGGGU